ACCAAUAAUACGUUUUGUUGGUGCGCCCAAUGCGAAUGAAUAGAAAAAAACGGAAAUGCUCCGGCGUGAAAAACCACACAAUAAUAUAUAAUAUGACAAAUAAGUACAGAUAAAGGAAAGUCUUGGGGAGUCGGUGGGGGGGGGGGGUGAAGCUCCACGAAUAACCGAAUGGCUUUCAAAAAUGGAAUUCGACUACCAACAAACGAGUUCAAUUAUGUCAAUAUACCUUAAUUGCAGCAGUGCAUACGCGUAAAUUUACCAAAACAUAUCGUACAUCAAAAUAUUAUCUACGUUAAUCUAUUGCAUCGUAUAUAAUACUAUGUAUCGGGUAAGCACAAAUCAGGAUAGUUGACGAUAGACAAAUAAUCGGAAAAUUGUAGUCCGUACACCAGGACCCCUGAUGUGAUGACAAUGCAUUAUUAUUGCAAAAAAUAUUUUGAAUCUAAUUAUUAGGUUAUAAUAACUAUAACGUUAACAGCUAUUUAAUGUCGAUCAUAUAAAAUGGUUGUUUCAAUACAGUGAUAUCAACUAUACGCGAUUAGGUCUCCCAACUAUGUUGUAUGAUAGUCUGUAAAGCUACCAUGGUUUUGAAAAGGGUAACUGUUUAUUAUUUUUCCUUUCCUUUAUAAUACAUAUAAGUGAAUGAAAUCGUAUUCAAUAUUUAUUUUACAUGUACGCGGAAUACUUUUUACCGGAUCGCAUCCAGCAGUAUAUUUUUUUCCCAUCGGCACACUCGCGUAAACCGGACGUAUGCAGGAAAAAGUAAAUACGCAUGCGUAUAACUACCUACGCGGUUUUAUUACACAUUAGAUGUAUGGGCGGUAAAAAAUACGUCGAAACGAAAGCGACGGUGAACUCCAGAGAGAUUGCAUAACCGCAUACGUAAACCGGUUGUUCCGGGCCGUGUACCGGUGGGCGGAGGCGGUGGCACCGGACACACAGGAACGCCGAAAACAGAUACGCGCGAGGUUCGUGUGACGCAAUAAUAAUAUUGUCCGUGCGACGAUAACGACGAUAAUAAUAUAUAGUGGCGAGUAAAAAAACUAUCGGCCGUGGUAAAAAAAUGUACGGGUACGAUCGUCAACGACGCAGUCUGCCCAGCGAUUGUCGUCAUAGCAGACAGGGUGAAAUAACCACAGGUACAUGGAGUCUUGUAAAAACAUGUCGCCAAUUCGCCGAGAGUCAAACGGGGAAAUAAUCAGGAAACCUUGUACUAAUAGACGGGGUGCUGAAAAAACAACAGAUUUAAUUUUCCCGAAACACGUUUCAAACUAUGAUAUUAUACCGCGUGUACCAAAUCCUAAGUGAGGGAGGUCUUGUCGGAUUUCGGGAAGAUUUCGUUUAAGACUUUUGGAGAUAUGUCUUGAGAUCCACGAGUUCUCGAUGUGUUGGCGAACAAUUCGAACGUUUUUGUGUCAUCAUAAUAUCUAUUUUUCGUUUUUUGAAUCUUUCAAAAACCACGACUGUAAUGAUAAUCGUUUGUUUUCUUUGCAGCUUUUACACCAAUCGUGCCUAUACCUAUAAUAUAUUUAACACAUAUUAUACGAUAAUCGAAUUGCGUGCGCUCGUCCCGAUAGAUCUGCAAUAUACGCGUAUUCAAUGCGUGCCAAUGACUGCAAUAAUUACCGUGGCGUAAUUUUCCAAUCAGAUUUUCGCAAUUUUUUCAGUCGUACCCUAACACCCGAGAUAAGCGCACGAAAUCAACAAGUCGCGCCUAUCAAGCACAUCGAAUCGUGGAUAUCCCGCCCGGUCGUCAAACGCGGGUCACCCGAAGUUACGCAAUGUCUGUUCUGCGCGUUACUUUUGUUACCUAUAUUUAAUGAUAUUAUUUUGAUACUAUAUCCACAGCUGUGUUUGCGGUUUGUUUAACGCCACCGUGUCGAAAACCUUAUCAGCACCCGACCUUUGAGUAAUAAUGACAACAGCAACAACAACAACAACAACAACAAAAACCGAACGAAAGCCGCUUUUCCUCCCGUAAUAUAACUCUGCCAGCUCGAUGUGUAUGAUUUGCAUCUACAAAUACAACCGUGUACAAGAAGUUUGAUUGUUCCGAGUUGCAUGAUGAUGGGCAUAGUGUUUGGAGAGGUGCAAUUUUAAAUACGUCAUGUGAUUAUGAAACAAUAGUAUUGCGGUAAUAUGAAACAUAGCCCAAAAUAAGUACAUAAUAUUAUAUAACGUAAGAAACAUCAUUAUAAUAAUGUUUCCAAAUGUUUCUUUUCCAUUUCCAUAUUAUUAUGCGCAAUAUGACAUUAGUCUAUUAUUAUUAUACUAAUUUAUUAUUAUCUGCUCGUCGCACGCAUUUAUAAACAAUGAGAACAUUUCAGAAAUAAAAAAAACUUGAUUUUUUUAUGCUAAUUUACGCAUGUUUCAUCUCUCUGAACAAUAUUUUGCAUACUUCACAUUAGUAUUGUUGCCAUAAUUUUCUUCUUGGGCUAUGGCUUACGGUUCUCAAAUGGGUAGGUAGCUCACAUAAGAAAUGUGACUCAGAGGAAAAACAAUUGAAUGUUUAAUAAUUAUUUUUGAAAAUUAAAAACUGAUCAGAGUUGUAGUCUAUAGGUAAGAAUAAAAUCUGCUCUAAUUUGAAAACUGUUCAUUGUAUGAUUUACCCGCAAGCGUUGGCCACCAAAGACUUUAAAAUUUAUCCUUUUUGAUUUUGAAUUUAGACCAAAGAGUAAAGGAUAGUGGUUACCAAUAUAGAGCCAAACGUAUUUGUUCGUUUUAAAACGACAUUAAAACUCUCAUUAAAGUUAAAUAUAUAACCAUUGAUCAUAAUAAUAUAAUAUACCUAAUAACUUACUGUAGGUACGCACAAUUGCAAAAUCAAAUGAUUGAACCAAUACAUAUUUUAAUUUUUAAUUUUUUUUUUAUUAAUUAACCCACGGCUACUUAGGCCUUUGGGGUGGUUUUUAACUGUGUGGGAGAGUACUGUAGGUUUAAACACGUUUACACAGUUUGGCAGAUUUUUUAGUGGGCACCCACAGGUACUAUAUAUUCAUCAUGCUUUUAGUGCAUAUUUGAAGUUUUUUCGUAUUUGUAAUAUAUUAAGAUUAACAGGCUUGAUACGACUAAUUAACGUCCCGCAGCGGUAGGCUUAUGUAAUAUUCACGGCGGAAUCAUAAUUAUGACUUAAAGGGAUUUAUAAGGGGUACUUGGGCAGGACCAUUCCAACAAUUUUUGACACAUAAUAACAUGUAAUAGACACAAACUAAUUUUCAACUGUGUAUUUUUUAGAUAAUUAUCUAUAAUAAUAUAUAUAAAAGAACUUGUCUUGACUGACAUGAUUGACUGAUUCAUUAUAUCGUCUAGCCGGGACCACCGGAGCGAUGAGUAUGAAAUUUAGUCAAUAGUUUCGUUUUAUGAUGUAGAGACUAAGCUAUAAGAUUUUCCAAAAUUCGCAUUUUAAAAAGGACCUCCUCAAACAAGGAUAUUGAGAUUCACGGUGGAAAUGGAAACUUUUUUUCUGCAGUUUACAAAUGGUUGUCAUUGGUAUUUAGUUGCAGAAUAUAAUAGUAAUGGUAUAAAUUA